CCUACGGGAGGCAGCAGUGAGGAAUAUUGGUCAAUGGACGAGAGUCUGAACCAGCCAAGUAGCGUGAAGGAUGACUGCCCUAUGGGUUGUAAACUUCUUUUAUAUGGGAAUAAAAUGUUCCACGUGUGGGAUUUUGUAUGUACCAUAUGAAUAAGGAUCGGCUAACUCCGUGCCAGCAGCCGCGGUAAUACGGAGGAUCCGAGCGUUAUCCGGAUUUAUUGGGUUUAAAGGGAGCGUAGGUGGAUUGUUAAGUCAGUUGUGAAAGUUUGCGGCACAACCGUAAAAUUGCAGUUGAAACUGGCAGGCUUGAGUACAGUAGAGGUGGGCGGAAUUCGGGGUGUAGCGGUGAAAUGCUUAGAUAUCACGAAGAACUCCGAUUGCGAAGGCAGCUCACUGGACUGCAACUGACACUGAGGCUCGAAAGUGUGGGUAUCAAACAGGAUUAGAUACCCAGAGUC
rnacentral:rRNA from 1 species